rnacentral:rRNA from 1 species
UACGGGGGGAGCAAGCGUUGUUCGGAUUUACUGGGCGUAAAGGGCGCGUAGGCGGUCGUGUCAAUUCACUUGUGAAAUCCCUCGGCUCAACUGAGGAACUGCCUUUGAAACUGCACGGCUUGAGGCCGGGAGGGGGUAGCGGAAUUCCCAGUGUAGCGGUGAAAUGCGUAGAUAUUGGGAGGAACACCAGUGGCGAAGGCGGCCACCUGGACCGGUACUGACGCUGAUGCGCGAAAGCGUGGGGAGCAAACAGG